rnacentral:miRNA from 1 species
GGCUCAGUAGUCAGUGUAGAUCCUG